GGACCAACCCGCGAAAACUCUUCGGUGCGAUUUUAUUUUAGUUUCCUUGUAAAAAAGUACAGUUUACUCCUCAUCAUAAAAAGUGGGCUCCUUUGUGCACAUGCGCGGAUCGGACUGUAGAUCACCUUUAACAUAUAAAGUAAAAUGCGAUAUAUACAGUAUACAAAAUUAUUCCAAACUUUUAUUAUUAAAUUUAUCAGUUAUCAGUUAAAAAAGUUAUCAGAACAUACCAGAUACCUUUGAGAAAACGAGAUCUUCACAGCAAAAAUCGCAAUAUAUUUCACUACAGAGUACAGUUUUUAAUCGAACGGGCGCGUUCAGAAUAAAAGAUUUUGAAUAAUAAAUCGAGCGUUGCAUUUCGGGAAGACCCUGAUUCCCUCCAAUGCAACAGCCCGCUUCCAGUCCAACGUGUGCUUUAGCCUGAAAGACUUUAUAUUGACAUAUAUAUCACUACCAUGAUUUGGGGAAUUAUUUGAUUCCCCUCUGCCAAAAAGAAGUUCUUCACAGGCAUUUAUAUGAAAGUACAUUCAAAAGACAAAACUCUGUAUGCAUUUUGGGCGAAGUAACGUUUCUAUAAACGUGCUGAUGAGAAAUUGAGGUUUGUU